rnacentral:rRNA from 1 species
UUAAGUUAAUAAGGGCACACGGUGGAUGCCUUGGCGUUAGGAGCCGAAGAAGGACGCAGCGAACUGCGAUAAGCCUCGGGGAGUGGUAAGCACACUUUGAUCCGGGGAUCUCCGAAUGGGGAAACCCACCAUCUGUAAUGGGAUGGUAUCCUUCACUGAAUACAUAGGUGAUGAGAGGGCAGACCCGGUGAACUGAAACAUCUAAGUAGCCGGAGGAAGAGAAAACAAUAGUGAUUCCGUCAGUAGUGGCGAGCGAACGCGGAAGAGCCUAAACCGUAGGAUUUAUCCUACGGGGUUGUGGGGGCGUUUCAUAUAGGAGUUACAAAAGACAGAUGUAGGUGAACAGUUUGGGAAGACUGACCAAAGAGCGUGAUAGUCGCGUAACCCAAACAAUCUGUCUCUCCGAGACCAACCCCGAGUAGCGCGGGACAACGUGAAAUCCCGUGUGAAUCUGGCAGGACCAUCUGCUAAGGCUAAAUACUACCUAACGACCGAUAGUGAACCAGUACCGUGAGGGAAAAGGUGAAAAGCACCCCGGGAGGGGAGUGAAAUAGUACCUGAAACCGUGUGCUUACAAAUAGUCGGAGCACUUUCUAUGUGUGACGGCGUGCCUUUUGUAGAAUGAACCGGCGAGUUACGAUAGCGUGCGAGGUUAAGUCGAAGAGACGGAGCCGUAGCGAAAGCGAGUCUGAAUAGGGCGAAAGUACGUUGUCGUAGACCCGAAACCGUGUGAUCUAGCCAUGUCCAGGGUGAAGGUAGGGUAACACCUACUGGAGGGCCCGAACCCACGCACGUUGAAAAGUGCGGGGAUGAGGUGUGGCUAGCGGUGAAAUUCCAAUCGAACUCGGAGAUAGCUGGUUCUCCCCGAAAUAGCUUUAGGGCUAGCCUCGGAAUAAAGAGUCUUGGAGGGUAGAGCACUGAUUGGACUAGGGGCCCUCAUCGGGUUACCGAAUUCAGUCAAACUCCGAAUGCCAAGUACUUAUGUCCGGGAGUCAGACGGUGAGUGCUAAGAUCCAUCGUCAAAAGGGAAACAGCCCAGACCAUCAGCUAAGGCCCCCAAGUGUAUGUUAAGUGGGAAAACGAUGUGGAGUUGCCCAGACAAACCAGGGAUGUUGGCUUAGAAGCAGCCACCAUUUAAAAGAGUGCGUAAUAGCUCACUGGUCGAGUGACUCUGCGCGGAAAAUGUAACGGGGCUAAACAUACCGCCGAAGCUAUGGCAGUCCUUACGGACUGGGUAGGGGAGCGUUCCAAGCAGCAGUGAAGCCGUAUCGUGAGGAGCGGUGGAGCGCUUGGAAGUGAGAAUGCCGGUGUAAGUAGCGAAAAGACAAGUGAGAAUCUUGUCCACCGAAAGCCUAAGGUUUCCUGGGGAAGGCUCGUCCUCCCAGGGUUAGUCGGGACCUAAGCUGAGGCCGAAAGGCGUAGGCGAUGGACAACUGGUUGAUAUUCCAGUACCACCUCUGUUCCGCUUGAGCAAUGGCGUGACGCAGGAGGAUAGGGUGAGCGGCCUAUUGGAUGGCCGUCUAAGCAGUAAGUGUGGUGUGUAGGCAAAUCCGCACACCAUCAAGCACAAGCUGUGAUGGCGAGGGAAAUAUAAGUACCGAAGUCCCUGAUUUCACACUGCCAAGAAAAGCGUCUAGCGAGGAACAAGGUGCCCGUACCGCAAACCGACACAGGUAGGCGAGGAGAGAAUCCUAAGGUGCGCGGGAUAACUCUUGCUAAGGAACUCGGCAAAAUGGCCCCGUAACUUCGGGAGAAGGGGCGCCUCGGUAGGGUUUAUAGCCCGAGGAGGCCGCAGUGAAAAGGCCCAAGCGACUGUUUAGCAAAAACACAGGUCUCUGCGAAGCCGCAAGGCGAAGUAUAGGGGCUGACGCCUGCCCGGUGCUGGAAGGUUAAGGGGAUGAGUUAGCGCAAGCGAAGCUUUGAACCGAAGCCCCAGUAAACGGCGGCCGUAACUAUAACGGUCCUAAGGUAGCGAAAUUCCUUGUCGGGUAAGUUCCGACCCGCACGAAAGGCGUAACGACUUGGGCGCUGUCUCGGCAAGAGACCCGGUGAAAUCAUAAUACCUGUGAAGAUGCAGGUUACCCGCGACAAGACGGAAAGACCCCAUGGAGCUUUACUGUAGCCUGGUAUUGAAACUUUGUGCAUCAUGUACAGAAUAGGUGGGAAGCUGUGAAGCGAGGGCGCCAGCCUUCGUGGAGCUGUCGUUGGGAUACCACCCUUGAUGUACGGAGUUUCUAACUUGCCGCCCUUAUCGGGUGGAAGGACCAUGCCAGGUGGGCAGUUUGACUGGGGCGGUCGCCUCCUAAAGAGUAACGGAGGCGCCCAAAGGUUCCCUCAGAAUGGUCGGAAAUCAUUCGUAGAGUGUAAAGGCACAAGGGAGCUUGACUGCGAGACCUACAAGUCGAGCAGGGACGAAAGUCGGGCUUAGUGAUCCGGUGGUUCCGCAUGGAAGGGCCAUCGCUCAACGGAUAAAAGCUACCCUGGGGAUAACAGGCUUAUCUCCCCCAAGAGUCCACAUCGACGGGGAGGUUUGGCACCUCGAUGUCGGCUCAUCGCAUCCUGGGGCUGAAGUAGGUCCCAAGGGUUGGGCUGUUCGCCCAUUAAAGCGGUACGCGAGCUGGGUUCAGAACGUCGUGAGACAGUUCGGUCCCCUAUCUGUCGCGGGCGUAGGAAGUUUGAGGAGAGCUGUCCUUAGUACGAGAGGACCGGGAUGGACGCACCUCUGGUGCACCAGUUGUCACGCCCAGUGGCACAGCUGGGUAGCUAUGUGCGGACGGGAUAAGCGCUGAAAGCAUCUAAGCGUGAAGCCCCCUUCAAGAUGAGACUUCCCAUAGCGCAAGCUAGUAAGACCCCUUAUAGACGAUGAGGUUGAUAGGUUCGGUGUGGAAGUGCAGUAAUGCAUGGAGCUGACGAAUACUAAUCGGUCGAGGACUUAUCCAC